rnacentral:rRNA from 1 species
UGCGAAGGUGGCCUGUGAGGGUUGCUGGAGGUAUCAGAAGUGCGAAUGCUGACAUAAGUAACGAUAAAGCGGGUGAAAAGCCCGCUCGCCGGAAGACCAAGGGUUCCUGUCCAACGUUAAUCGGGGCAGGGUGAGUCGACCCCUAAGGCGAGGCCGAAAGGCGUAGUCGAUGGGAAACGGGUUAAUAUUCCCGUACUUGGUGUUACUGCGAAGGGGGGACGGAGAAGGCUAUGUUGGCCGGGCGACGGUUGUCCCGGUUUAAGCGUGUAGGUGUGUGUUCCAGGUAAAUCCGGUUCACUUUAACACUGAGGCGUGACGACGAGGCACUACGGUGCUGAAGCAACAAAUGCCCUGCUUCCAGGAAAAGCCUCUAAGCAUCAGGUAACAUCAAAUCGUACCCCAAACCGACACAGGUGGUCAGGUAGAGAAUACCAAGGCGCUUGAGAGAACUCGGGUGAAGGAACUAGGCAAAAUGGUGCCGUAACUUCGGGAGAAGGCACGCUGACACGUAGGUGAAGUGAUUUACUCAUGGAGCUGAAGUCAGUCGAAGAUACCAGCUGGCUGCAACUGUUUAUUAAAAACACAGCACUGUGCAAACACGAAAGUGGACGUAUACGGUGUGACGCCUGCCCGGUGCCGGAAGGUUAAUUGAUGGGGUCAGCGCAAGCGAAGCUCCUGAUCGAAGCCCCGGUAAACGGCGGCCGUAACUAUAACGGUCCUAAGGUAGCGAAAUUCCUUGUCGGGUAAGUUCCGACCUGCACGAAUGGCGUAAUGAUGGCCAGGCUGUCUCCACCCGAGACUCAGUGAAAUUGAACUCGCUGUGAAGAUGCAGUGUACCCGCGGCAAGACGGAAAGACCCCGUGAACCUUUACUAUAGCUUGACACUGAACAUUGAGCCUUGAUGUGUAGGAUAGGUGGGAGGCUUUGAAGUGUGGACGCCAGUCUGCAUGGAGCCGACCUUGAAAUACCACCCUUUAAUGUUUGAUGUUCUAACGUGGACCCGUUACCCGGGUUGCGGACAGUGUCUGGUGGGUAGUUUGACUGGGGCGGUCUCCUCCUAAAGAGUAACGGAGGAGCACGAAGGUUGGCUAAUCCUGGUCGGACAUCAGGAGGUUAGUGCAAUGGCAUAAGCCAGCUUGACUGCGAGCGUGACGGCGCGAGCAGGUGCGAAAGCAGGUCAUAGUGAUCCGGUGGUUCUGAAUGGAAGGGCCAUCGCUCAACGGAUAAAAGGUACUCCGGGGAUAACAGGCUGAUACCGCCCAAGAGUUCAUAUCGACGGCGGUGUUUGGCACCUCGAUGUCGGCUCAUCACAUCCUGGGGCUGAAGUAGGUCCCAAGGGUAUGGCUGUUCGCCAUUUAAAGUGGUACGCGAGCUGGGUUUAGAACGUCGUGAGACAGUUCGGUCCCUAUCUGCCGUGGGCGCUGGAGAACUGAGGGGGGCUGCUCCUAGUACGAGAGGACCGGAGUGGACGCAUCACUGGUGUUCGGGUUGUCAUGCCAAUGGCACUGCCCGGUAGCUAAAUGCGGAAGAGAUAAGUGCUGAAAGCAUCUAAGCACGAAACUUGCCCCGAG